rnacentral:RNase_P_RNA from 1 species
CUGGACAAACGCUGCAUAGAGAUAUGUAGAGGAAAGUCCACGCUCGCACUAUCUGAGAUGAUAGUAGUGUUUAUGCUUAGGGAAAAAAUAACCUAAGGGAGUUUAUACUCACGGCAUUCUAAGACCUAAGGGAAACUAUGGUUUAUGAAUAUAAAGUGCCACAGUGACGAAUUGCUUAGAAAUAAGUAAGUGAAACGCGGUAAACCCCAUAAGCGAGAAACCCAAAUUUUGGUAGGGGAACUAUCCUAGGAGAAAUGAAUCUGUGGGAUGGAUGACGAAAGUCAUAGAUAAAUGUUUGUCGCCUUAAUAGGUACAGAACGUGGCUUAUAA